rnacentral:precursor_RNA from 15 species
AGAAGGGAGGCGCUGGCAGGCCUGCCCGACACUCUUUCCCUGUUGCACUACUGUGGGCCGCUGGGAAGCAGUGCAAUGAUGAAAGGGCAUCGGUCGGGUCUGGACCCGUCACCAGCAAUG